rnacentral:rRNA from 1 species
GCGGCGUGCUACACUGCAAGUCGUACCCAGAUAUCAGGAAUCUUUCGAAUUCUACAAUUUCUGUCGCACCGUGUGAGUAACGCUGUGGAUGACCUCGCCUGGUAGACCGGGACAACAGCUGGAAACGGCUGCUAAUACCGGAUACGCUUAAGGGAACGCAUGUUCUUUUAAGGAAAGCAAUCGCGCUAUCAUAUGGAUCCGCGUCCCCUUAGCUAGUUGAUGGUGUAAGGGACCACCAAAGAGACCAUUGGUAACCGGCCUGAGAGGGCUACCGGCCACACUGGGACUGAGACACGGUCCAGACUCCUACGGGAGGCGGCAUUGGGGAAUCUUCCACGAUGGGCGAAAGCCUGACAGAUCAACGCCUCGUGAGGUAACAACGCCUUCUGGUUGUAAACCUCUGUCAUCAAUGAAGAACAUAUGACGGUACUUGGAGAGGAAGCCCCUGCUAACUACGUGCCACCUACCGCGGUAUAACGUAAGGCGCGAUCAUUAUCCCGAAUUACUGGCCGUAAAGGGCUCGUACGUGAUCCAUUAGUUUAUAUGUGAAAGAUCUUCGCUCAACCCCGAGAUUGGCUCUGAUUCUGCUGGACUUGACUGCAUGAAACGCGAACGCAAUUCCCAGUGUAGCGCUGAAAUGCUUACAUUGAGUUACGAACACCAGUCGCUAAUGCCGCUCUCUAGAGUGUAACUGACACUGAAGCGCACUAGCGUGGUGAACGAACACGAUUACAUACCCUGGUAGUCCACGCCGUAAACUAUCAGUGCUAUGUGUUGCUGGUAUCUACCCCCGCACUGCCGUAUUUAAGACAAUUAGCACUCCGACAGCCGACUACGGUCGCAAUACUGCAACUCAUAUGUAUUCACUUGAGCCCGCACUAGCAAUGUAGUAUCUCGUCUAAUUCGAUCCAACGCCCAGAAUCUUACGACGUCUUGACGUCCUAUCAACGACCUAUAGCUUUGGACCUUACGCUUCGCGGUAACAC